GUUUGUGCUGGUUUCACCUCCUUUUUGAUGAACCCUAAAAUGCCGUGUAACAGUACCAUGAGCAGCUUCUGCUUCAAUUGUCUUUCCAUCAGGGCAAACCAAUACAGAGGUCAUCAACCCAAGAGAUCCAAAUCCUUGAGCUAAGAAGUCACUCUGAACAUCUCCAUCAUAGUUCUUGCACGCCCAGACAUAACCUCCUUCACUCUUAAGUGCAUAAGCCACCAUAUCAUCGAUGAGACGGUGUUCAUACCAUAUGCCAGCAGCCUCAAACUUUGAUUUCCACUGGGAUUCAUAGACUUCUUGGAAUAUAUCCUUGAAUCUUCCAUCAUAUUUCUUUAGAAUAGUAUUUUUUGUGCUUAGGUAAAGAGGCCAUUUCUUCUCAUAAGCAGUGUUCAUUGAUGCCUCAGCAAAGGAGCGGAUGGACUCAUCAG
rnacentral:misc_RNA from 1 species